CCUACGGGUGGCAGCAGUGGGGAAUAUUGCGCAAUGGGCGAAAGCCUGACGCAGCGACGCCGCGUGAGGGAUGAAGGUCUUCGGAUCGUAAACCUCUGUCAGCAGGGAAGAACGGUCACUGUGCUAAUCAGCAGUGAAUUGACGGUACCUGCAAAGGAAGCACCGGCUAACUCCGUGCCAGCAGCCGCGGUAAUACGGAGGGUGCGAGCGUUAAUCGGAAUUACUGGGCGUAAAGCGCUCGUAGGCGGUAUGUCAAGUCAAGGGGGAAAUCCCCGCGCUCAACGUGGGAACUGCCUUUGAAACUGGCAAACUGGAGUGUGUGAGAGGAUAGUGGAAUUCCAAGUGUAGGAGUGAAAUCCGUAGAUAUCUGGAGGAACAUCAGUGGCGAAGGCGACUAUCUGGGACAUAACUGACGCUGAGGAGCGAAAGCGUGGGUAGCAAACAGGAUUAGAUACCCGGGUAGUC
rnacentral:rRNA from 1 species